rnacentral:rRNA from 1 species
GAUGAACGCUGGCGGCGUGCCUAAUACAUGCAAGUCGAGCGAACAGAUGAGGAGCUUGCUCCUCUGACGUUAGCGGCGGACGGGUGAGUAACACGUGGAUAACCUACCUAUAAGACUGGGAUAACUUCGGGAAACCGGAGCUAAUACCGGAUAAUAUAUUGAACCGCAUGGUUCAAUAGUGAAAGACGGUUUUGCUGUCACUUAUAGAUGGAUCCGCGCCGCAUUAGCUAGUUGGUAAGGUAACGGCUUACCAAGGCAACGAUGCGUAGCCGACCUGAGAGGGUGAUCGGCCACACUGGAACUGAGACACGGUCCAGACUCCUACGGGAAGCAGCAGUAGGGAAUCUUCCGCAAUGGGCGAAAGCCUGACUGAGCAACGCCGCGUGAGUGAUGAAGGUCUUCGGAUCGUAAAACUCUGUUAUUAGGGAAGAACAAAUGUGUAAGUAACUAUGCACGUCUUGACGGUACCUAAUCAGAAAGCCACGGCUAACUACGUG